CAAUAGCGUAUACUAAAGUUGUUGCGAUUAAAAAGCUCGUAGUUGGAUCUCAGGCAUGGGCGCACGGUCCGCCUCGCGGCGGUCACUGUGUGUUUUGUUUCCCAUCCUACGCUUCCCGGUUAUCAGCCCAUGGUGCUCUUCACUGAGCGUUUUGGGUGGCCGGAACGUUUACUUUGAAGAAAUUCGAGUGUUCAAAGCAGGCACGUCGCCUGAAUAAUGGUGCAUGGAAUAAUGGAAUAGGACCUCGGUUCUAUUUUGCUGGUUUUCGGAACACGAGGUAAUGAUUAAGAGGGACAGACGGGGGCAUCCGUAUUGCGGUGUUAGAGGUGAAAUUCUUGGAUCAUCGCAAGACGAACAACUGCGAAAGCAUUUGCCAAGCAUGUUUUCAUUAG
rnacentral:rRNA from 1 species